CCUACGGGGUGCUGCAGUGAGGAAUAUUGGUCAAUGGGCGAGAGCCUGAACCAGCCAAGUCGCGUGAAGGAUGACGGCCCUACGGGUUGUAAACUUCUUUUGUCAGGGAGCAAUUGGGUCCACGCGUGGGCUUAGCGAGAGUACCUGAAGAAAAAGCAUCGGCUAACUCCGUGCCAGCAGCCGCGGUAAUACGUAGGUGGCGAGCGUUGUCCGGAUUUACUGGGUGUAAAGGGCGUGCAGCCGGAGAGACAAGUCAGAUGUGAAAUCCACGGGCUCAACCCGUGAACUGCAUUUGAAACUGUUGCCCUUGAGUGUGGGAGAGGUAAGCGGAAGUCGUGGUGUAGCGGUGAAAUGCGUAGAUAUAAGGAAGAACACCGGUGGCGAAGGCAGAAUACUGGACGAUAACUGACGGUGAAGCGCGAAAGCGUGGGGAGCGAACAGGAUUAGAUACCCUAGUAGUC
rnacentral:rRNA from 1 species